rnacentral:rRNA from 1 species
UAGAGUUUGAUCCUGGCUCAGAUUGAACGCUAGCGGGAUGCUUUACACAUGCAAGUCGAACGGCAGCGCGAGAGAGCUUGCUCUCUUGGCGGCGAGUGGCGGACGGGUGAGUAAUAUAUCGGAACGUGCCCAGUAGCGGGGGAUAACUACUCGAAAGAGUGGCUAAUACCGCAUACGCCCUACGGGGGAAAGGGGGGGAUCGCAAGACCUCUCACUAUUGGAGCGGCCGAUAUCGGAUUAGCUAGUUGGUGGGGUAAAGGCUCACCAAGGCAACGAUCCGUAGCUGGUUUGAGAGGACGACCAGCCACACUGGGACUGAGACACGGCCCAGACUCCUACGGGAGGCAGCAGUGGGGAAUUUUGGACAAUGGGGGAAACCCUGAUCCAGCCAUCCCGCGUGUAUGAUGAAGGCCUUCGGGUUGUAAAGUACUUUUGGCAGAGAAGAAAAGGUAUCCCCUAAUACGGGAUACUGCUGACGGUAUCUGCAGAAUAAGCACCGGCUAACUACGUGCCAGCAGCCGCGGUAAUA